rnacentral:lncRNA from 1 species
CAUUAUACCGAUUAUCGAUUUUGUUAGAUAAUGAUAAUCGAUGUCAAAAUAAUCGAGGUAAUAUUAUUCAUCUCUGCUUUUUCAAUGGAGGUCAGGGAUCAAUCUUCUCUAGUUAUGCAAUGA